AUGUUACCCACAGAUACCUUAAAAAGGUCAAUGCAAUGUCAGUGGUGGAUCACCUGGAGUAAUGUUAUCCAGGAAAUGUUAUCCUAUUUGCAUGAGGAAUCUCUCUGCUGCUCAGAUGGCCACAAGGAAGUGAUCGCCAAGUCUCAGAAAAUGGGAUUCUACAAUUAUAGAGGAGAGGCUGUGGUCAACAGAAAAGACAGCCCAGCAGAAAAAGGAUGCAGCCUGGGACAGGAGAGUGGUUGGAGGGAGACAGCUGCAGGCCCUUGUUCUCAAAGGCCACCAAGGUUAACAAGUAAGGCAAACUGACAGCAUUUUGCAGGACACACUGGAGAACAUCAAAGACUUCUUUGUAAAUCAUCUGCUAAAGACUCCCCUUGGAGCUGCUUCAAAAGCAGAAACUCAGGAAUAAUGGCCUUAAAACCAAUAACAGAGGGCUAUAUCUUUUACUCUUUGGGACAAGAACUACACAGAGCAUCUAAAAGAGCAUCAGCAGAAUCUGGGACAAGAAAAAUGCUGGCAAGCCUAGGUGUCUUCAUCCAUUUUGUGAUGCUAUAACCAAAUACCUGAAACUGGGUAAUUUAUAAAGAACAGAAGCUUAUUUUCUCACAGUUCUGGAGGCUGGGAAGUCCAAGAUUAAGCUGUCAAUAGGUUUGGUGUCUGCUGAGGGCUGCUCUCCGCUUUCAUAAUGGUACCUCAUUGAUGAAUCCUAUAGAGGGGAAGAAUGCUGUAUCCUCACAGGGCAGAUGAUGGAAAGACAAGCUAGCCAAACUUCUCCCUUUUAAUAGGGCACCUAAUCCCAUUAAUGAGGGAGGAGCUCUCAUGGGCUAAUCACCUCUUAAAACCUCACCUCUUAAUAUUAUCACAUUGGCAACACCUGAAUUUGGGAGGGGACACAUUCAAGCCAUAGCACUCGGGAGGUAACCAUGGAUUUUAGCAUGUUACUGGCUCCCCUUAGUGACGAAGUGUAUAGUUAAUACUCCUUCCUUUAACCAUACAUUAUUUAUUGCCCUCAAACCAGAGUGGAGGUUUGGAUAUCCUUCACAAAACGUUUUAUAAUAAUGGUAAUAACAGUAGCCUCUCUAAUUUAUAAGUGGUUCAUAGGAACCAGCUACAGUGAUAAGUGUAUCGCAUUAUCUCAAUUCUCAGCAAGACCCUAGGAUGUAGACACUAUCAUGAUUCCUAUUUUUACAGAUGAAGAAAGUGGAACCCAGAGAGCUUCAAGAGCUUUUCUAGCCCUCACAGUUAAAAGGGUGCAGAAUGAGGAUUUGAACCCAGAUGUACUCAAUCUAGGGACAGUGAAACUGACUGUAAGAGCAGAGUCUUCCACACUUCAGUGAGGGUUAUCUGAGGGUCUUGUUCGAAUUGUGGGCUCUCAGACCACACACAUAGUUACAGUUUGAAUGGAAAUGUGGUAGAGUCCCGGACCUCAGGAUGACUCUGAGAUGUGCGAAUCUUUUUUUUUUUUUUUUUUUUGAGGCAGGGUCUCACUCUGUCAUCCUGGCUGGAGGGCAGUGGCAUGCUCACAGCUCACUGCAGGCUUUGAUCUCCUGAGCUCAAGUGAUCCUCGCAUCUCAGCCUUUCAAGUAGCUGGGACUACAGGCAUGCACAACCAUGCUGGGCUACUUUUUGUAUUUUCUGCAGAGACAGGGUUUCACCCUGUUGCUCAGGCUGGUCUUGAACUCCUGGGCUCAAAGGAUGGGCCAGCCUCAGCCUCCCAAAGUGCUGGGAUUACAGGCAUGAGCCACCUCUCCCAGCCUUGCAUGAUCUACCUGAUGCCCAUGGUCUGAAAGCACACUUCACUCGAUGCUUCAUGUCAUAAUGCCUCUUUUCAUCAUUUUCAGAGACCCAUGUUAAAUAUAUCACUCCAAGGGCUAUGUAUGAACACCUGGAGCAAUGGACUCAACCUAUUAGAGUGAAGGUCCAGAAGCCAGAACGGGCAGGUCAGCAACUGCUACUUCUAGGAUAAUUUUCUUUGCUUGUUACUUGUUUCUCCUUGGAGUUGCACCAUCCAAUAGUAGCAUUUUUUCCCUUUAUUUCAAAAGGGAAGGCAGCCAAAGAGAAUCACAGAAAAGGCAGCUACUAAAACCACAAGAAGAAUCCAGAAAACACAGAGUUCUACUCCAAAUCACUCUGUUCCUGUUUACCGAGAUGAAUCUAAGCACUGAAAGUUUCAACUUAAAGACUUCAAGAGUCUCCACAUACACUAGGUGUAUAUUUUUUACACUUAGUAAAAUGUGUUAAUUGAAAGUCUAAUAACUGGUAGAAUUUAAGAUAAUUUUAAAAUGUAUAAGGUUUGACAAAUAUGGUCAGUUCAAGAAAUAAUUUACAUUUCACAUAGGGACUAUUUUAUAUUGUUGGGAACAGGUUUUUCAAUUUGGUUUGGUUGUUUUGCUUGAGCAAGGGAAGCUCACAAAAGAUUAUCUACUUUCCUAACAGAAUUGUAUUUCUUAAGAGAUUUGUCAUACCAAUGUUACCUCUGGUUUUAUACUUUUAAAUAAUUGAUUUCUAAGUAAAAGUCUAUCUGGGAUUUGCUAUUGUCCCUGCUAAUGCUUUUUAUCAAUGGCAAAAAUUACAAUUGAUAAAACUAACUUGACUUUACUGAAAUGACACAUUUUUCUGACUUCCCUUGCAAAGAACAUGGCACUUUUUCAAAAUGUUUAUCUACUAUCUUCCCUUUGCUACCUUCAUAGCUCCACCCAUCAUUAUUCACAUUGAGUUAAAAAUUGGUUUAUUAGAA
rnacentral:lncRNA from 1 species